AGACUUUACUGAAAAGCAACCUAAAUGGUGGGAAGCCAACCAGAGGGGAUGGGGAGCAGCUGGUCGCCCUUGACCAAAUUAAAAAGGCAGCCAUUAUUGAUGCUACAUUGAAGAAGUGGCCAGCAGCCAGCCGAGGGCAGAUAGGCACAUCCAUUAAUUCAAAGCUCACAGAGCUGAGAAGAUCCACAAGAUAAUUUCUUGGGGGGUAUUUCUGUUACUUUUUUUUGUUCUUGUACUUUGAUUGUU